AGAAUGGAUCAGUGAAAAGAAACUUGCGGAAGAGCUUUUGGAAUUUAGUGAAGAUCGCAAUCCUUGGGAAUCAGUGGAAGAAAAGCUUAAUGCAAUACGUGAUACGAUGAGAACGAUGGUAAAACAGAUGAGGCCUGGGAGAGAAUGAACAGCUGCUGAUUAAAAUGGUAGCAAUGGGACUCUGUUUUAAAUCAAAUUGUUAUUCUUCGAAGCUUUUUUUCUUACUCCUUGAAUGCGAAAAUCUGGAGAAUUUCCUCCACAACAGCUUGGAAAUGAAAACAAAUAGUGCAUGACCAGUAGCAAUUACAAAGAAGUAACAAAAACAACAGAAAAAGCACCAAACAACCAUUGAGCAGUGGAGUGACGCAAAGUAGAACUAAUCGGGAUUUCUCGACGCGUAAACAGACAUGUCAGCUUUUCAAAUUAAUAUAUUCGCCUGGGUUAUGUGGCUGUUCCAAUCCUCAUCGGGUUAACGAGCAUAGUUGAAAUUGGUAAAGAAGACAAGUUGAAAUUUCAUUUUUGUGACCAGAAGCAUUUCCAAUCAAAGAGUUACAUGAUGAUAUCUAGUGGUUUUG